AAUAUUGGACAAUGGGCGCAAGCCUGAUCCAGCCAUACCGCGUGAGUGAAGAAGGCCCUCGGGUUGUAAAGCUCUUUUGUCCGGAAAGAAAAGCAUCGGGUUAAUACCCCGGUGUUCUGACGGUACCGGAAGAAUAAGCACCGGCUAACUUCGUGCCAGCAGCCGCGGUAAUACGAAGGGUGCAAGCGUUACUCGGAAUUACUGGGCGUAAAGCGUGCGUAGGUGGUUCGUUAAGUCUGAUGUGAAAGCCCUGGGCUCAAUCUGUGAAUGGCAUUGGAGACUGGCGGACUGGCGUGCGGUAGAGGGUAGCGGAAUUCCCGGUGUAGCAGUGAAAUGCGUAGAGUUCGGGAGGAACAGCCGUGGCGACGGCGGCUACCUGAACCAGCACUGACACUGAGGCACGAA
rnacentral:rRNA from 1 species